CUGCUUCCGCCAUGAUGUCCUGCCUCACCUCGAGCCCUGAGGAAUGGAGCUGGCCUCCUAUGGACUGAGACCUCGGAAAGCCUGAGCCUUCAAAUAGACUUCUCCUCGUGUACAAUUGUUCUGGUCGGGUCCUUUAGUCACAGUAGCCACAAACCUGACUAUAACAUGCUCUAUUAUGGAGAACGCCCAGAUGAGAAGCUCACCUCGGAGACUCCCAAGCCUCCACUGACUCAGCCUCCUGACCUUGGCCACUCUCGGUCCUGGGAUCUCCUUUACUUCCUCUUCCUCUUCUGCAGGUUAUGGACUUUCUGAAAAAUAAAUGUCACUGAGCCGCCCUGCAUGGGCCCAACAUGAUAAACGGCUUCUCCUUCUUGUCCCGGAACACCCUUCAUGCUACAAUUUCCUGCAAAAUUCAGCACAAGACUCCAACACUUUUCAAAUGGUUGACAAAAAGAUCACCCUCCUACCCUGCCCAGCACAACACAGGAUUUCAAGAUUGUAUGUAUAAUAGGUUGCCCUUGAAUAAACCCAAGCCUGAAUUACUCAGACUUUGGGAAAUUUGUCAA